rnacentral:misc_RNA from 1 species
GCUUUCCUCUUUGACGUAACCCACCCGCUGGUACGAGCCACUGCGGGCUAGGCAGUCAUUCUGAGAGAAGCGGGAACACUAGAGUAGGGCAGGAUAAGAAUCGAUAAGACCCCAUGCCCACAUUUGGUUCCGUAUCCAUGAUACCUAGCAAUACUCAACGCGCCACAAACCAAUGCAAGCAUUGACAAUGUGGUUCAAAGAGACAGCUUCCGGGUCCAUCUCAUGUCAUGUGAUGACACAAGACGAAAGGAACUUCAAUCGAUCGGGACAAUACCAUCGCUUAGGUAAGCAGCACAGAGAAAACCCACAUUAGUCAUAGGCGAUACAAGCCUAAACAAGCAACUGAAGAGGUAUGCCGGGUGGAAGUUGUU